AUGGCACCGCAGCCGCCUCUCUUCCCUCCCGCUGCCUUCGACCGCGGCGGCGGCGGCCUCCCUUCAUGGGACCCCAGCCGCACCUCCAACCCUUCCUUCGACCAGGGCUUCCUCAAGGCGGCCUUCGACGGCGAGCUCCACCUCGUCAAGAAGGCGGCGAGGGUGGUGGGAAGGGGGGCGGAAGGCAGUCGCCUCGCUGAGAAGAUGGGCGCGGUCAGGGACGGCUACGGCAUGGGCUUGUUGCACACCGCGGCCCUAGGCGGGAGCCUGUCCGUGUGCCGCUACCUGGUCGAGGACAUCCGGCUGGAUGUCGAUGACGUAGGCCCGAUGGGCGAAACGCCUUUGACUGUUGCGAUUGGCCGUCAGAAUGUGGAUUUGGUGCGCUACUUUCUUGAUCAAGGUGCUGCUACAAUGAAGCUCAACGACAGUGGGAGUACUCCCCUCCACCUUGCUGCUGCAGCAGGAAGCUGUGAAAUAGUUGAGCUCUUACUCUCCAGUGGAGCUUAUGUUGAUGCACUACAUCUUGGUGGGACGGCACUGCAUUCUGCUGCCCGUGAUGGGCGGGAUGAUAUUGUGAAAGUUUUGCUAGACCACCAUGCAGACGCUGGUGCUGAUGUGGAUGGUAAUUGUAAAGAGACACCAUUGAUCAUUGCUGCCAUUAGUGGCUCAACUGAAAUCCUGAAGUGCUUAGUUCUGGCUGGUGCGGAUGCUAAUGUUCCUGACAGUUUAGGACGAGCUCCUAUUGAAAUUGCUGCCCGCUCUGGUAGGCGUGAAGAUGUUGAGAUUCUAUUUCCGGUCACUUCUCGUAUUCCAAAUGUACGUGACUGGAGUGUAGAUGGGAUCAUUAGGCAUGUAAAAUCAGUGCGUCCAGUGAAGAAAGCCAUGCUUACUAGUGCAAAAUCUAAAGCGCAUGAGGCGUUCAAGAACGGGAACUAUUAUCUUGCAGCAAGAAUUUACAAAGAGGCAAUGGCACUUGACCCUGGUAAUGCAACCUUGCUUUCAAAUAGGAGUCUAUGCUGGCUUCGCCUCGGUGAUGCAAAGAACGCCUUGAAUGAUGCUCAAGCUUGCAGUAUGAUGCGACCUGGCUGGCCAAAGGCCUCAUAUCGUCAAGGAACUGCUCUAAUGUUACUGAAGGACUAUGAAAAGGCAUGUGAUGCAUUUCUUGAUGGUCUUAAAUUGGAGCUUGGGAACGUAGAGCUGGAAGAUGGAUUACGGCAGGCUUUGGAAUCCUUGAAGAUAUAUUGCAGUAGCCCUGGGCAAGACUAG
rnacentral:rRNA from 1 species